GUCUAUGGCCAUACCACCCUGAACGCGUCCAAUCUCGCCUGAUCUCUCGAAGCUAAGUAGGGUCAGGCCUGGUUAGUACUUAACUGGGAGACCG
rnacentral:rRNA from 1 species